AGGCAAUGAUGAGUCAAGUAUAGUCUGACCUGGUAUUGCCACAGCUUCUGGCUUGGCUCUGACCAGGACAUGAUCACGUAAUCUUCUCUCUGAGCAG